rnacentral:rRNA from 1 species
GCUGUGUCCGUUCGGGACAAGGAGACAGGUGGUGCAUGGUUGUCGUCAGCUCGUGUCGUGAGAUGUUGGGUUAAGUCCCGCAACGAGCGCAACCCCUGUGGUUAGUUGCCAGCAAGUAGCGUUUGGGCACUCUAGCCAGACUGCCGGUGAUAAAUCGGAGGAAGGUGGGGACGACGUCAAAUCAUCAUGCCCUUUUAUGUCCUGGGCUACACACGUACUACAAUGGCCGUUACAACGGGAAGCGAAGGAGCAAUCCGGAGCAAAUCCCUUAAAGGCGGUCCCAGUUCAGAUUGUGGGCUGAAACUCGCCCACAUGAAGGCGGAAUUGCUAGUAAUUGCAGAUCAGCAUGCUGCAGUGAAUACGUUCCCGGGCCUU